UAGACCCUACGGGGCGCAGCAGUGAGGAAUAUUGGUCAAUGGUCGGGAGACUGAACCAGCCACGCCGCGUGAGGGAUGAAGGUACAGAGUAUCGUAAACCUCUUUUGUCAGGGAACAAAGGCGGGGACGUGUCCCCGGAUGAGUGUACCUGGAGAAAAAGCAUCGGCUAACUCCGUGCCAGCAGCCGCGGUAAUACGGAGGAUGCGAGCGUUAUCCGGAUUUAUUGGGUUUAAAGGGUGCGCAGGCGGUCUGUUAAGUCAGCGGUCAAAGCCCGUGGCUCAACCCCGGCCC
rnacentral:rRNA from 1 species